AUUGAACGCUGGCGGCAUGCCUUACACAUGCAAGUCGAACGGCAGCACGGACUUCGGUCUGGUGGCGAGUGGCGAACGGGUGAGUAAUAUAUCGGAACAUACCCUAGAGUGGGGGAUAACGUAGCGAAAGUUACGCUAAUACCGCAUACGAACUAAGGUUGAAAGUGGGGGAUCGCAAGACCUCAUGCUCAUGGAGUGGCCGAUAUCUGAUUAGCUAGUUGGUGAGGUAAAGGCUCACCAAGGCGACGAUCAGUAGCUGGUCUGAGAGGACGACCAGCCACACUGGAACUGAGACACGGUCCAGACUCCUACGGGAGGCAGCAGUGGGGAAUUUUGGGACAAUGGGGGCAACCCUGAUCCAGCAAUGCCGCGUGAGUGAAGAAGGCCCUCGGGUUGUAAAGGCUCUUUUGUCAGGGAGAAAGGUUGUGGCUAAUAUCCAUGACUCAUGACGGUACCUGAAGAAUAAGCACCGG
rnacentral:rRNA from 1 species